ACAGGUGAUGUUGCCUAGCAACUAACGACUGUAACUGUCCAGGUGGGAUGCUUUUUUCAAUACUGAAGUAGCUGGACUGCCUGAGGCCCUCUGGCUCUGUCCCACCCUCACACAUAUGACCAGUAUCCAGCUCCAGCUCCCCACAUUUUAUUGCCCAGGCAGGAGGUGGGGCUAGCCCUCCAACUUGAAAGAUUUAAAUUUGCCUCCCAGGCUCAGAGAGUGUGCGUGGUUACAGGAAAUGUCCGACAGUGGCUAAGAUAGCCAUUUUUCUUUCUCGAUAAUGAGAUAAAAUUACAUCGUUCACAAGACUGUCAUACUGCAUUUCAUUUGCCACCGUGUCUGUUACAAAACUGUGGGCUUCUCAUAACCAAAGCCAGCUGAGCUUCAGUGAUACCAGAAUGAAGAAUGGGAAAAGCUCCCGAACGUUCCUUCAGCAGCAUGUGGGUUUGACUCCAUCAAUUAAAAAACAAAACAAUUUGCACGUAGCCAAAAGAGCGUGGUAGUGGCUUUAGUCUUUCACAACUCAAAAAGAAGAAAAAAGAGGAGGGGAGGAAGAAGAAGACUUGCAAGCAAAAGCCCAUCAGUGUGUCUUCGGCAGUCCAGCAGCCGCCACAGAGAACCGACCGAGCCACGCCACGCCACGGAGGACCUGCAGGUGCGAAAGCCCUACGUUUAGAUUGCAGCUCUAACCCGCCGUGUGGUGCUCAGAGCGAGUCACUGACCCUGCCAAGCCUGGGUCUCCCGUCCUCGACAGCAGCAAUGAUGACCCCUAACUCCGGAGCUGGGAAUGGCUCAGGUCCGGUCUCCAGCAGCACACCUGACAUUCCAAAGAGUUUAAUGCGAGUCCACGGCUAAAGAGCCCACACCAUGCACAGAAAUAAAACCAGAUGCUGGAAAGGAGCUCACAGAAACCCCGCCUGCUAUCAACAGCGGAACUGCAACAAAUCUCACCUAGAAAGAAGACAUAAACCAAACUUCCUGGCUCUGCAUCCUCUUCUGGGCUUCCCACGCGUCGCUGGAAACGGAGCUUUCUCUGGUGAAGCAUGC